rnacentral:miRNA from 1 species
AAAGUGCGACCGGAUUGGGU